UUUACGGAGUGAAUGGCUGCAUAAAUUUGAGUGUACUAAGGUAGCGCUAUAAUUUGCCCUUUAAAUGGGGGCUGGUAUGAAUGGGUUCACGUGAAAGUUGCUGUGUCACAAAAAUUUUUUGAAAUUAACUUCUAGGUGAAGAGGCCUAAUUAAGUUUAAAGGACGACAAGACCCUAGAAGCUUCACUGAAAGUAGUAUACGCAGUAUAUUAUUCCAGUUUUGUUGGGGCAACAUAGUUAGAAAGUAUAACUUGUUUAUAUAAACUUACAGGUUAAAACCACUUCGGUGAAUAAGAUAAGCUACUCUAGGGAUAACAGCGUUAUUUUUUUUAAUAGUACUUAUUGUAAAAGAAGUUUGCGACCUCGAUGUUGGACUAAGGUAUCCUUAAGGAGCAGAAKUUUUACAGGGUUGGACUGUUCGUCCAUUAAAACCUUACA
rnacentral:rRNA from 1 species